rnacentral:tRNA from 1 species
AGCAAUGUAGCUCAGUGGCAGAACACUUGCCUGGCACCCACAAGGUCCUGGGUUCAAAUUCCAGCACUGCAA